rnacentral:lncRNA from 7 species
ACUCGAUGAAGAAGACGCGGCCGUCCCUGCAGACGCCGUAGGACCAGUGCUCAGAGUGAAUAGCAAAAUCACCCCCCUUUGGAAACAGCUUUUCUUCAUUUCUAAAACAUGAUAGACGUCUUGCUGACGUGGUCUGAAGCUCUCCUCUAUACUUUGCGAGUUCAAGCACUUUUAUUACCAUCAAUAACAGUAAGAAGACUGCUGCAACACCAGGACAGUUGGGCACUUUCAGUCCAUCUCUACCACCCCUACACACUACUGAAGUCAGCUGUCGUUCUUCAUCUCUCCCUGGGAGACCAGCUUUCUGAAAUACACGUCUGUGAAAGUAUAGACCAGACCACAGACUUCUAUCAGCAGAAGGAGCAAACAAGAUGAUCUCACAUUUCCAUGUGGGAUCUGCAUGCUGAUGCAAUUCCCUUGUCCAUUGUUGCAGUAUCAUUGCAUCUGUUAAAGAUCCUGAAUGCCUCUUUAACUGGUUCGAUAUCUGUUUGAGAAACUGAGAUUCCAAAAAUGGUAAUUCUCUCAAACUAAUCUUUUUUCAUUCUCUGUACGCAGUGAUACUUAAAUAUUAUUCCUAGUGAUAAGAGCUGAUAUAAUGGUAACGAUGAUGAUGAAUAAUUCCAUUAAUUCUAAGGGCAGACUAAUACUUCAUAAGAGGAGAUUUUAGUAUGGGAAGAGAUACAUCAGGUACAAUAAAUACUACAGAAUUAAGUAGUCUUUCUUCUCAAACUAACCAUCUGUUUCCCAAGCAUUUUCAUUUCUACAUCAUGUGAAUUUCUGCUUUGGACAGUAAAUGAGAACUCAGGAAAAGCAAAACUUUGGCUUUUUGUCCAUUAAUUUGUCUUUCCCACUCCUGUAAAAAGAUCCACAAUAUACAAUUGCUCAUGCUUUCCUCAUACAUGGGUUCUACUGCAUCUUGGGAUACAAGAGAAGGUACAAGAGAAUCAUAGAAUCAUCGAAUGGCCUGGGUUGGAAAGGACCACAAUGAUCACCCAGUUUCAACCCCCCUGCUAUGUGCAGGGUCGCCAACCCCCAGACCAGGCUGCCCAGAGCCACAUCCAGCCUGGCCUUGAAUGCCUCCAGGGAUGGGGCAUCCACAGCCUCCUUGGGCAACCUGUUCCAGUGCGGCACCACCCUGUGAAUGAAAAAAAGAGAAGUUUGAAUUUUGCGUAUCUACAGUAAUGCACUAAACAAAAUAAAUAAAUAAAUAAAGCUCUUGAUAGUUCACGGCAGUAUCUUAGGCAAAGAAGAAUAUAAAAUAUUGCUAUGUUCUUUUUAUUAAUUAGCUGACUUUAAAGUUCAAUAUCAUUUUUCCUCAUUAGCCAAGAUUGUUAAGUGGAUUGGCUAAAGUAAGUACCAGCAGUCACUAUGGAGACUGCUUUCCGUUGGGAAGUGAAAAGAAAAGCAAAAAGGAAAUAAAUUGCCCAGGUGACAGAUCACCAGAAUUCAACACGAUGCCAGCUUCUUCAGGGGUAUCGUAUAUACAGAUAGUAUUUAUAGAAAUCAACAUGCAGCAGAAGAAGCAUUAAGUUAAUUAAAAUGUAUUGUAGCCUAAGAUUACACAUAAUUAAGUCCAGUUUUGUAGAAGGUUACAUCUAAUGAUUUUCUCUUGGAGUCGCUGGUUUUUUGCAUUUGGACCAAUAAAGAUUUUGAUUCUUGUU